GGUACGAGUUUGCGAAAUCACGUGGCCAAAUCAACCGGCAUCAGUUGAGCUGGAGAGAAGACCGCCAGCCUCAUGAGCUUCUUCACCAAGCUGUGCAAGAGGAGUGCCAGAAGCCAGAGAAAGUUCGCAGGCUGAACGAGUGGGUGGAGGAAAACUUCGCCAUGAGUGCAUCCCACCCAGCAGGUAAAGAUGAGGAUGGAGAACCACGUAAAGAAUUCUGGCUACCACCAGAAGUAACAGCCCAGCCAGUGUCUGAGGAUGAUGACCCCUUGGUGAGAAUGCUGUUAGACGUGGAUGCUACACAGGAGGCUGUGCGUGAAAACCAUCUGCAUCUCGUCAAUCGUGUAGGCCUUCACACCUGCUGAGAUUAUUGUCUUCGCACACCUAGACAUGCUGAACCUGGUAUGCAACCUGGAGAGGGUGUUUGUCUUAUGGAAUUUGGUUCAGAGUACCAUCGCGGGAAA